rnacentral:rRNA from 1 species
UACAGAGGGUGCAAGCGUUAAUCGGAAUUACUGGGCGUAAAGCGUGCGUAGGUGGUUUGUUAAGUCAAGUGUGAAAUCCCCGGGCUCAACCUGGGAACUGCAUUUGAUACUGGCAAGCUAGAGUGUGGUAGAGGGUAGUGGAAUUCCCGGUGUAGCGGUGAAAUGCGUAGAUAUCGGGAGGAACAUCAGUGGCGAAGGCGGCUACCUGGACCACAACUGACACUGAGGCACGAAAGCGUGGGGAUCAAACAGG